ensembl:misc_RNA Metazoa_SRP Metazoan signal recognition particle RNA
GCCGGGUGCAGUGGUGCGUGCCUGUAGUCCCAGCUACUUGGGAGGCUGGGAUGGGAGGGUCGCUUGAGCCUAGGAGUUCUGGGCUGUAGUGCGCUAUGCCCAUCAGGUGUCCACACUAAAUUCGGCAUCAGUAUGGUGACCUCCCAGGAGCAGGGGACCGCCAGGUUGCCUAAGGAGGGGUGAACUGGCCCAGGUUGGAAACGGAGCAGGUCAAAACUCCCGUGCUGAUCAGUAGUGGCAUUGCGCCUGUGAAUGGUCACUGCACUCCAGCCUGGGCAACAUAGCGAAACCCUGUCUCUA